GGAGGAGAUAGUGAAUCACAGGAUGCUCGUGCAUAGCAGAUCUGAGUGGAUGGAGGCAUAUUAUGCCUCCAUCAACUCAGAAGUCCUUCUGGUGGCAUUCUGAGUGACUGCAACUGGAGGUGUUCCUAGCUUUCAAUGUAAACACUGUAUUUUCUCAGAAAAUACAGUGUUUAAAUGAGAGGCUGCAGGGAGCUAUAGUUCUCACCUGAACAACCUCAUUAAGCUAAAGUUGUUCAGGUGACUUUAGUGUCCCUUUAAAUCUGCCCACAACAAACCAAUAUUAAAGGGACACUAGAAUCACCAAAAUAACUACAGGUUAGUGUACUUGUUCUGUUGUCUACUCUCUAUCCCUGCAGGCAUUUUGCUGUAAACUCUGCCCUCUCAGAGAAAAAGCACAUUACAUCCUAGGGACAACUCCAUUUGCUAAACCUCAGACUGCCAGUAGAGGUGCUUCCUGGUGCAGAACUGACAUUCAGCGGAGACGCUAAACUUUUCCCACAGAGAUGCAUUGAUUUAAUGCACCUCUGAGGAGAUGCUAAAUGGUCAGAGAGUAUAUGGCCCUGCUUCCAUGGCUGAGAUAAUCAGAAUUGACUAUCUCAGCCAAUCCAAUGCUUUCCUGUGGGAUUCUGAUUGUCACCCAAGGAGGCAGGGCCGGUGUCGGCAGACCCACACGCCGCUGGUAUAAAG